rnacentral:rRNA from 1 species
AUACGGAGGAUGCGAGCGUUAUCCGGAUUUAUUGGGUUUAAAGGGAGCGUAGGCGGGAGCUUAAGUCAGCGGUUAAAUGGUGCGGCUCAACCGUGCCCUGCCGUUGAAACUGGGUUUCUUGAGAGUGCAAGAGGCGGAUGGAAUUCAUGGUGUAGCGGUGAAAUGCUUAGAUAUCAUGAAGAACUCCGAUUGCGAAGGCAGUCCGCUGGGCACGUCUGACCCUGAUGCUCGAAGGUGCGGGAAUCAAACAGGAUUAGAUACCCUGGUAGUCCGCACGGUAAACGAUGAUUACCCGCUGUCGGCGGUAGACAGUCGGCGGCCAAGCGAAAGCGAUAAGUAAUCCACCUGGGGAGUACGCCGGCAACGGUGAAACUCAAAGGAAUUGACGGGG